CUUGGGCACUAAACAUGCUGAUUGGUUGAGUUCACAUAGCACUGUAUUAAAACCACCAUUUAUUCGCAUAAUUUUAAAAUAUCAUUAUUGUUA